ACCAUCAUACUUGGUCGGAGAGAUAAUAUAUCGAUUGCCAACUAAAUCUCUGGCACGAUUCAGAGCCGUAAGCAAGACAUGUAAUGCUUUUUGAGAGGACAAGAGUUUCUCGAAAAGUACUUGGCUCGCGCGCGACGUCAAUUCAUCGUAUGGACCAAUUUCCAGAUUUGUUCCGCGGGCAUCAACGACGACGACGAUGACCCCAGACUUGAGGUAUGUGAGAUAAACUCAGACAUUCAAAUUCAUAGCCGCUUAGGUCAUUGCGAUGGGGUCUUGUUAUCUGACAUUUGGAACAAAGGGUUUAAGGUUUGGAACCCUUGUUUAAUUAAGACGGAAGAGAUUGGUAAUGGUAGAGAAUCACGACUUCAGGUUUUGUGGCAUAGGGUACGAUAACAGUAGGCCCGAAAUGGGUUACAAGGUUUUUGGGUAUGAUUUUUAUUUCGAUACAAGUGGCCAACUCUACCAAAACGUUGCCAUCUACAACUGCAAAUCUGAUGCGUGCAAGUUUAUUAGUAAUGCCCCUUGCGAAUAAGAUUUGGGUGUGCCACAGUUAGAUAGUAUCGUGUCUGUGAAUGGGAAUCUUUAUUGAAUUGCUUUUUAUUCAGUGGCUCGUCAAUAUUUCAUCUGAAGCUUUGAUUUUUCAAAGGAGAUGUUCAAGACCUUUUGUCUUCUACCUGCUGCUCGUCAAUACUCAAGUCCUCGCAGUUUUCAUGGGAGAUCGCCUUUCUGUGUUAAGGCAAUCUUUUCUUACUAGAAAGAUUAAGGUUUUGGUGCCAAGCACAAGAUUGACGGGAACCAUGAGGCCGUGGCGUGGAUGUGGUUCAUGACAGUCUCAAUACCCAACUUACCGAGGUUCCAACACAAAUGUCUCGACUCUCAGCCAAGUUACUUCAUCGAUAAUAGGAAGAGGCUAUUUGUGUCUACUUGUGAUGAAACAGGGCAUGCCUGCAUCUACGUCGUCAAGGGAGAUUUGUUCAAGAAAAUUCCAAUAGAUUCCAUUGUUGGUCUUUUGGCCAUCUAACCGCACCUAUAUUCCCAGUUUUAUUUCCGUUCAAAGAUCAGACAAGUUACCAUCCUAGUUGGUUGGAGAGAUACUUUGUAAAUCAUUUGCUCUAUCCAGAGCGGUAUCUGAAUCUUGGAACGCUUUUUGGGAGGACAUGAGUUUCUUGAGGAACUACUUGGCUCGCGCGCACCCUCAAUUCAUCUUACGGACCAAUUCCCAUCUUUGUUCGGUAGACAUCAUCAAUCUCGACAACGACACAUGAUUAUUGAGGUGCGUGAUAUAACUUUUGACAUGCCAUACCCAAUACUUACCAGCUUAGUUCAUUGCGAUGGGCUCUUGUUAUCUAGCAUUUGGAAGAAAGGUUUUGUGGUUUGGAACCCCUGUUUAAGACAAAAGAGAUUGAUAGAGAAUCACGAAUUCAGGUUUUGUGGCCUAGGGUACGAUAACAGUAGACCUCGAAUGGGUUACUAGAUUCUUGGGGUUGAUCUUUGUUUCGAUGCUAGUGGCAAACUCUACCCAAAAGUUGCCAUUUAUGAGUUCCAAUCUGAUUCGUGGAAGUUUUGAAUUAGUGCCCCUUGCGAACAAGAUUGGGGUGUGCCACAAUUAGAUACUAUUAUUUUCUUGACUAGGAAUUUAUAUUGGAUUGCUUAUCGUUCAACAACUCGUCAAUAUUUCAUCCGAAGCUUUGAUUUUUCAAAGGGGAGAUCGGUUUUCUUUGUUAAGGCAAUCUUACAUGACUAGGAAGAUUGAGAUUUUUGUGACAAAGCACAAGAUUGACUGUAAUGGAGGCGGCCGCGGUAUGGAUGUGUUUCAUGACAGUGUCAAUACGAGACAUCCCGAGGUUACAACACAAAUGUCUGGGACUCUCAGCCAAGUUACUUUGUCGAUAGUAAGAAGAGGCUAUUUGUGUGUACUUGUGAUGAAACUGGGCAUGCUUGCAUCUACAUUGUCAAAGAAGAUUUGUUUAGGAAGAUUCUAAUAAAUUAUAUGGUUGAUCUUAUUAGGCAUUCUAACCUCACCUAUAUCCCUAGUUUUAUCCCCAUUCCUUUCCAACAACCAGGAUCGCAAGCUUAAUUUUAUUAUAUUUUUUUCA